ACUCCUACGGGAGGCAGCAGUAGGGAAUCUUCCGCAAUGGGCGAAAGCCUGACGGAGCAACGCCGCGUGAGUGAUGAAGGUUUUCGGAUCGUAAAACUCUGUUAUUAGGGAAGAACAAAUGCGUAAGUAACUGUGCGCAUCUUGACGGUACCUAAUCAGAAAGCCACGGCUAACUACGUGCCAGCAGCCGCGGUAAUACGUAGGUGGCAAGCGUUAUCCGGAAUUAUUGGGCGUAAAGCGCGCGUAGGCGGUUUCUUAAGUCUGAUGUGAAAGCCCACGGCUCAACCGUGGAGGGUCAUUGGAAACUGGGAAACUUGAGUGCAGAAGAGGAAAGUGGAAUUCCAUGUGUAGCGGUGAAAUGCGCAGAGAUAUGGAGGAACACCAGUGGCGAAGGCGGCCCCUGGACAAAGACUGACGCUCAGAUGCGAAAGCGUGGGGAGCAAACAGGAUUAGAUACCCUGGUAGCGACUGAU
rnacentral:rRNA from 1 species